rnacentral:rRNA from 1 species
AUUGAACGCUGGCGGCAUGCCUUACACAUGCAAGUCGAACGGCAGCACGGGUGCUUGCACCUGGUGGCGAGUGGCGAACGGGUGAGUAAUACAUCGGAACAUGUCCUGUAGUGGGGGAUAGCCCGGCGAAAGCCGGAUUAAUACCGCAUACGAUCUACGGAUGAAAGCGGGGGACCUUCGGGCCUCGCGCUAUAGGGUUGGCCGAUGGCUGAUUAGCUAGUUGGUGGGGUAAAGGCCUACCAAGGCGACGAUCAGUAGAUGGUCUGAGAGGACGACCAGCCACACUGGGACUGAGACACGGCCCAGACUCCUACGGGAGGCAGCAGUGGGGAAUUUUGGACAAUGGGCGAAAGCCUGAUCCAGCAAUGCCGCGUGUGUGAAGAAGGCCUUCGGGUUGUAAAACACUUUUGUCCGGAAAGAAAUCCUUGGCUCUAAUACAGUCGGGGGAUGACGGUACCGGAAGAAUAAGCACCGGCUAACUACGUG